rnacentral:rRNA from 1 species
AGAGUUUGAUCCUGGCUCAGGACGAACGCUGGCGGCGUGCCUAAUACAUGCAAGUCGAACGAAGCUUUCUUUCACCGAAUGCUUGCAUUCACCGAAAGAAGCUUAGUGGCGAACGGGUGAGUAACACGUAGGCAACCUGCCCAAAAGAGGGGGAUAACACUUGGAAACAGGUGCUAAUACCGCAUAACCAUGAACACCGCAUGAUGUUCAUGUAAAAGACGGCUUUUACUGUCACUUUUGGAUGGGCCUGCGGCGUAUUAACUUGUUGGUGGGGUAACGGCCUACCAAGGUGAUGAUACGUAGCCGAACUGAGAGGUUGAUCGGCCACAUUGGGACUGAGACACGGCCCAAACUCCUACGGGAGGCAGCAGUAGGGAAUCUUCCACAAUGGACGAAAGUCUGAUGGAGCAACGCCGCGUGAAUGAAGAAGGCCUUCGGGUCGUAAAAUUCUGUUGUCAGAGAAGAACGUGCGUGAGAGUAACUGUUCACGUAUUGACGGUAUCUGACCAGAAAGCCACGGCUAACUACGUGCCAGCAGCCGCGGUAAUACGUAGGUGGCGAGCGUUGUCCGGAUUUAUUGGGCGUAAAGGGAACGCAGGCGGUCUUUUAAGUCUGAUGUGAAAGCCUUCGGCUUAACCGAAGUAGUGCAUUGGAAACUGGAAGACUUGAGUGCAGAAGGGGAGAGUGGAACUCCAUGUGUAGCGGUGAAAUGCGUAGAUAUAUGGAAGAACACCAGUGGCGAAAGCGGCUCUCUGGUCUGUAACUGACGCUGAGGUUCGAAAGCGUGGGUAGCAAACAGGAUUAGAUACCCUGGUAGUCCACGCCGUAAACGAUGAGUGCUAAGUGUUGGAGGGUUUCCGCCCCUCAGUGCUGCAGCUAACGCAUUAAGCACUCCGCCUGGGGAGUACGGUCGCAAGACUGAAACUCAAAGGAAUUGACGGGGGCCCGCACAAGCGGUGGAGCAUGUGGUUUAAUUCGAAGCAACGCGAAGAACCUUACCAGGUCUUGACAUCUUCUGACAAUUCCAGAGAUGGAACGUUCCCUUCGGGGACAGAAUGACAGGUGGUGCAUGGUUGUCGUCAGCUCGUGUCGUGAGAUGUUGGGUUAAGUCCCGCAACGAGCGCAACCCUUAUUGUCAGUUGCCAUCAUUAAGUUGGGCACCCUGGCGAGACUGCCGGUGACAAACCGGAGGAAGGUGGGGAUGACGUCAAAUCAUCAUGCCCCUUAUGACCUGGGCUACACACGUGCUACAAUGGACGGUACAACGAGUCGCUAACUCGCGAGGGCAAGCUAAUCUCUUAAAGCCGUUCUCAGUUCGGAUUGCAGGCUGCAACUCGCCUGCAUGAAGUCGGAAUCGCUAGUAAUCGCGAAUCAGCAUGUCGCGGUGAAUACGUUCCCGGGCCUUGUACACACCGCCCGUCACACCAUGAGAGUUUGUAACACCCAAAGUCGGUGGGGUAACCUUUUGGAGCCAGCCGCCUAAGGUGGGGCAGAUGAUUGGGGUGAAGUCGUAACAAGGUA